AAGUGGGGAUGACGUCAAGUCCUCAUGGCCCUUAUGGGUAGGGCUUCACACGUCAUACAAUGGUCGGUACAGAGGGUUGCCAAGCCGCGAGGCGGAGCCAAUCCCACAAAGCCGAUCGUAGUCCGGAUUGUUCUCUGCAACUCGAGAGCAUGAAGUCGGAAUCGCUAGUAAUCGCAGGUCAGCAUACUGCGGUGAAUACGUUCCCGGGUCUU
rnacentral:rRNA from 1 species